UCUCCUCCCCACUUCCCCUCUCCUCUGUCCAGGUUGCUCCUAGUGGUAUGAGCCGUGUUCAGACCAUGGCCUGUGGAUCCUGCUCCAAUGAGAAUGCAUAUAAAGCCAUGUUCAUCUGGUACAGAGUGAGUACACACACACUGAGUCUACAAAACAUUAAGAACACCUGCUCUUUCAAUCAAAUAUAUUUCUAAAGCUCAGCCGAUGUCACAAAGUGUUUAAACAUGACAUAGACUGACCAGGUGUUAAACAUGACAUAGACUGACCAGGUGUUAAACAUGACAUAGACUGACCAGGUGUUAAACAUGACAUAGACUGACCAGGUGUUAAACAUGACAUAGACUGACCAGGUGUUAAACAUGACAUAGACUGACCAGGUGUUAAACAUGACAUAGACUGACCAGGUGUUAAACAUGACAUAGACUGACCAGGUGUUAAACAUGACAUAGACUGACCAGGUGUUAAACAUGACAUAGACUGACCAGGUGUUAAACAUGACAUAGACUGACCAGGUGUUAAACAUGACAUAGACUGACCAGGUGUUAAACAUGACAUAGACUGACCAGGUGUUAAACAUGACAUAGACUGACCAGGUGUUAAACAUGACAUAGACUGACCAGGUGUUAAACAUGACAUAGACUGACCAGGUGUUAUACAUGACAUAGACUGACCAGGUGUUAAACAUUACAUAGACUGACCAGGUGUUAAACAUGACAUAGACUGACCAGGUGUUAAACAUGACAUAGACUGACCAGGUGUUAAACAUGACAUAGACUGACCAGGUGUUAAACAUGACAUAGACUGACCAGGUGUUAAACAUGACAUAGACUGACCAGGUGUUAAACAUGACAUAGACUGACCAGGUGUUAUACAUGACAUAGACUGACCAGGUGUUAUACAUGACAUAGACUGACCAGGUGUUAAACAUGACAUAGACUGACCAGGUGUUAAACAUGACAUAGACUGACCAGGUGUUAAACAUGACAUAGACUGACCAGGUGUUAAACAUGACAUAGACUGACCAGGUGUUAAACAUGACAUAGACUGACCAGGUGUUAAACAUGACAUAGACUGACCAGGUGUUAAACAUGACAUAGACUGACCAGGUGUUAAACAUGACAUAGACUGACCAGGUGUUAAACAUGACAUAGACUGACCAGGUGUUAAACAUGACACACAUGACAUAGACUGACCAGGUGUUAUACAUGACAUAGACUGACCAGGUGUUAUACAUGACAUAGACUGACCAGGUGUUAUACAUGACAUAGACUGACCAGGUGUUAAACAUGACAUAGACUGACCAGGUGUUAAACAUGACAUAGACUGACCAGGUGUUAUACAUGACAUAGACUGACCAGGUGUUAUACAUGACAUAGACUGACCAGGUGUUAAACAUGACAUAGACUGACCAGGUGUUAUACAUGACAUAGACUGACCAGGUGUUAUACAUGACAUAGACUGACCAGGUGUUAAACAUGACAUAGACUGACCAGGUGUUAAACAUGACAUAGACUGAGGUGAAUCCAGGUGAAAGCUAUGAUCCCUUUUUGAUGUCACUUUGUUAAAUCCGCUUCAAUCAGUGCAGAUGAAGGGGAGGAGACCUGGUUAAAGAUGAAGGGGAGGAGACCUGGUUAAAGAUGAAGGGGAGGAGACCUGGUUAAAGAUGAAGGGGAGGAGACCUGGUUAAAGAUGAAGGGGAGGAGACCAGGUUAAAGAUGAAGGGGAGGAGACCAGGUUAAAGAUGAAGGGGAGGAGACCAGGUUAAAGAUGAAGGGGAGGAGACCAGGUUAAAGAUGAAGGGGAGGAGACCAGGUUAAAGAUGAAGGGGAGGAGACCAGGUUAAAGAUGAAGGGGAGGAGACCUGGUUAAAGAUGAAGGGGAGGAGACCUGGUUAAAGAUGAAGGGGAGGAGACCUGGUUAAAGAUGAAGGGGAGGAGACCUGGUUAAAGAUGAAGGGGAGGAGACCUGGUUAAAGAUGAAGGGGAGGAGACCAGGUUAAAGAUGAAGG